rnacentral:rRNA from 1 species
AUUGAACGCUGGCGGCAGGCCUAACACAUGCAAGUCGAGCGGAUGAAGGGAGCUUGCUCCUGGAUUCAGCGGCGGACGGGUGAGUAAUGCCUAGGAAUCUGACUGGUAGUGGGGGAUAACGUCCGGAAACGGGCGCUAAUACCGCAUACGUCCUGAGGGAGAAAGUGGGGGAUCUUCGGACCUCACGCUAUCAGAUGAGCCUAGGUCGGAUUAGCUAGUUGGUGGGGUAAAGGCCUACCAAGGCGACGAUCCGUAACUGGUCUGAGAGGAUGAUCAGUCACACUGGAACUGAGACACGGUCCAGACUCCUACGGGAGGCAGCAGUGGGGAAUAUUGGACAAUGGGCGAAAGCCUGAUCCAGCCAUGCCGCGUGUGUGAAGAAGGUCUUCGGAUUGUAAAGCACUUUAAGUUGGGAGGAAGGGCAGUAAGUUAAUACCUUGCUGUUUUGACGUUACCAACAGAAUAAGCACCGGCUAACUUCGUG